CUUGGUCCAUUUAGAGGAAGUAAAAGUCGUAACAAGGUUUCCGUAGGUGAACCUGCGGAAGGAUCAUUAACGAGUUUGAAAUCGAGAGCCUGUUGCUGGUGCGGAAACGCACAUCGUGCACGGCUCCCGUGCUCAAUCCAUUUCAACCCCCUUGUGCACCUUAUCGAAGUCAGUAGUCUUUCUCUUUUUGUUUGCUGGUUGUGUGCGGGAACCUCUUUCUGUUCACUUGGCCGGCGAGGAGAAAUAGAGGGUCGAAAGCUUUGACUUUUCUAUUAAACACUUUGUAUGUCUUGUGGAACGUAUUAGCUCCUUUGUGGGGGCGAAAUAAAUACAACUUUCAACAACGGAUCUCUUGGCUCUCGCAUCGAUGAAGAACGCAGCGAAAUGCGAUAAGUAAUGUGAAUUGCAGAAUUCAGUGAAUCAUCGAAUCUUUGAACGCACCUUGCGCCCCUUGGUAUUCCGAGGGGCAUGCCUGUUUGAGUGUCAUGUUAAUCUCAAACCCCUUGUCUUUUUUGUUGACUUGGUCGGUUUGGACUUGGAGGUGUUGCUGGCGUGCGUCGGCUCCUCUUAAUUGCAUUAGCUGGACUUUGGUUCGCAUUUGACGGUGUAAUAGUAAAGUGUUCGCCGGGCGUGCUUGCCUAACGGGUCUGCUUCUAAUCGUCUUCGGACAACUCUGUUCAUUUUGACCUUUGACCUCAAAUCAGGUAGGACUACCCGCUGAACUUAAGCAUAUCAAUAAGCGGGAGGAAAAGAAACUAACAAGGAUUCCCCUAGUAACUGCGAGUGAAGCGGGAAGAGCUCAAAUUUAAAAUCUGGCGGCUUUCGGUCGUCCCGAGUUGUAAUCUGGAGAGGCAUUUUCCGCG
rnacentral:rRNA from 1 species